GAAAAGGCAGGUGCAUUCCAAGAGGAAAGGCAGACGGCACUUCCACGAAUUCCAGUCAUCACUUGAACAGAGAUAGCCUUGAGCACGUGGAAUUUCUUCCAGUGCUGUUGUGCGAAUCUUUCGCCCACACCCUCGCUGAGACUCCCCUGCAUAAACAGCCCUGCCUACAA